UCUAUUUUUAUUUCUGUCAAACAGUAUGGCAAUAGUGUAACUCUUUAUUGUAAGCAGGAAUCCAUUCGAGCUGCUUUUUCACGCAAUGUUGACGUUAUCAGGUGCAUGCUAGCUCCGUUCUUAAAAAAAACUAAAAAAAACUAAAUUUCAGUGACAAACGUUUCAACUAGAAGUCCUUUUCAAUGUCUUCAAAAAUCCAUUCUCGAUGAACACAAUGCUCCUGAAACCAUCGUUUCCACUGACAACAGUUGCCCAACUUCAUCAAUAAGCCACAACGGUUGCCUUUUUAAUCCCCAGUGGGCCCCGGACAGAGUACAAUUGUUUCAGUAUGUCUUAGCCAGUUGGUUGCCCCUUGAUGGACUCCCCAGAUUAAGUGCUUGCUAUGGAAGCAUGAACAUGGGUCUUCUGGGAGUUGACCUUCAUCCUCAGCUGGGGAUCUGAGGGAGUGCUCUCAAAUUGACUGAUACCUCAGUUGGAGCAGGCUGGCCCAUCACCAGGCAGUCUUGGAAUAGGGGGCACAGAGGUCACUGCGUCUGGCCGAUCAAGUAUAAUAUUACUAAGGAUAAUCAAAAAAAGGAGUCACUCAGAACAGAUCAGAUUCUGUUGCUCUUAGGACAGACAGGCGUUGGGGUAAUAACAUCUUUGAUAUUGAUACUGGAGCUCUUUGUGAUUAACUUCCCUCAAUAGGGAAUCGGCACAAUGGUCUCCUUUGUUCACCAAAUAUAAAACCUUCCCACAAUGAGCCUUGGUUUAACCCCAACCACUUUAUUGAUGAUUCUUAAUGCUGACAGCAAGAAACAAAUGGACUGAUUGGGGGAAAAUAUAUUCUCCAGCAUUUGAUUAAGCCUGGAUCACACACCAAGUUAAUUAUUGUGAGUUUUAUCUGUUUCAAAAUACAAACAUCAAGCCUGUUGUUAUGUCUACUGGACCUGGCAGCCAUAAAUUCCUUCGUUUUGUACAAGGAAUGCACUGGGGAAAAUAUCAGUAAGAGAGAUUUCAUCUUGAAGCUAGCCACAGAAACAUUUUGAUCAGAAAACUGCAAAGCAGCAGGCUGCUGCAGCUCAACCUGGAUUUAAUGCUGCACUGAGUGGCACACGCAGAGAAAAACAUAUGUUACUUUUGUUUUACAUUUAAAAAUACAUUAGUUUUUACAGUUUUGUAUGUACAUAGACCUGUUUUCACCUGUUUACACACUAGUUUCUUUUGAAAUAUUUAUUUUUAUAUAGUUUGUGCAGAUAUUUGAUAUGUCAAGCCUGAAUAAAACUUUUGAGUUGUA